CAGAGUUCGCCCUAGGUCAUUUAGCAGUUAUUGUCACACAGCACUGCGGUAUCCAGAGAUGGGCAACUUUCCUCGUGCUCAGUCCAACCUAAGACAUGGGGCCCGGUGGCGAUAGGGUUACCCUAUGACGGGUCCUGCUGUUCCUGGAAUCCAAGCCGACUGCAGAGUUUUUAAAACAAGGACUCCUCAUGCUUUCAAACUGUGACACCUAGCAGAUUCAACAUGAGAUAGACCACAAUUAAGGCAAAUAUGCCAGCGCUUCAUAAAGCUUUGGGUUACUUUGUGGGCUCAAAUGACUUCAAAGUGCAUGCUCUGAUUGGAAGCAUUGAGCUGUCUUCUGUUUUGUGAGAGUGACAAUCUAUGAGCAGCUUCAACACCGCCUUAGAAGGUGGCUUCAUUUUGAUGGGCUUCUCAGACUGGCCUCAUCUGGAACAUAUCUUUUUUGUCUUCAUUUCAAUGUUCUAUUUCCUAACCAUCUUUGGAAACUUCACCAUCAUCACAAUUUCACGAAUGGAUCGUCGACUACAAACACCAAUGUACUUCUUCCUUAACAACCUCUCUUUCCUGGACCUCUGCUACAACACCAGCAUUGUACCUCAGCUUCUUGUCAAUAUUUCUGGAAUUGACAAGACCAUGAGCUAUGCUGGGUGCAUGACCCAGUUCUUCAUAGUGCUCUUACUGGGUGGAACUGAGUGUAUGCUCCUUGUGGUGAUGGCUUUCGACCGCUAUGUCGCUGUGUGUCAUCCACUACACUACACCAGCAUUAUGCACCCCCUUCUCUGCCAUGCAUUGGCCAUCUCCUCCUGGGUGGGAGGCCUUGUGAACUCUCUGACUCAGACAAGCCUCAUCAUGACCAUACCUCUCUGUGGCCAUCACCUGAACCACUUCUUCUGUGAGAUGCUUGUUCUCCUGAAGCUGGCUUGUGAGGACACAGUGGGAACAGAGGCCAACUUGUUUGUGGCUGGAGCGAUUAUUUUGGUCUGUCCUGUAGCACUAAUUCUAGGCACCUAUGCACACAUUGCUCAUGCAGUGUUGAAGAUCAAGUCAAGAUCUGGGCGCAGAAAGGCUCUGGGGACUUGUGGGUCCCACCUUACUGUGGUUUUUCUUUUUUAUGGCUCAGCCAUGUACAUGUAUCUCCAACCUGUCCACGUGUAUUCCGGGAGUGAAGGAAAGUUUGCUGCCCUCUUUUAUACUAUCAUUACUCCAAUGAUGAACCCUGAUUUAUACCCUAAGAAACAAGAAUGUGAAGGGGGCUUUGUGCAAGGUACUAGGGAGAGAUACAAGCACAACAUAGGAAGGGAACAGAACUUUAUACAAAUAUUGUCUAAUAUUUCUCGUAUGACAAAACUCAUCUUUCCUAUAGAGACCUAUUAUUCUCCAGAAGAUAUUCCUCAGUAGGCAUCAUAAUUGUACUUCUUACUUAUCUAAAAAUUAAAACUGGUGGUCUAAAACACUUCUAGAUCCUCACGAAAUAGGUAUUAAGGGUUGCUUUGUGUCAUAACUUCUCCAAGGAAUGAGUCUGGGAGAGAGGUAUAGCGAUUCUCCAUAGGAGAAUGGACAUGGACUCUAAGUAUAAUUGAGAGUGAGAGAAUGUAGGUGGUUGGUCUGGUGCUGCUUGUAUUCAAAUGUCAAAUUCUGUAUCGCAACACAUGAUUGCUCCAAGAUGAGCAGAUCUUCAUGUAUACCAGCUUUUGUUGUAAACCUUGCCCCCCAAGUUAUCCAUGAUUGGUUAAUAAAGAUGCCUACAACCUGGAGUCGGCAGAAGAGA